CUCGCUCGUAUCGUUUCAAUUAAAUUCAGAUAUAAUGCAGAUAAAUACUUCAGAUAAUUACAAAUGGGGCCCAGUCAAGGUGAGAGUCAAAAGCAUUGGUGCUACUGUAGAUGCCAACAGACUACCAGCAAACACAAUGUUUGCAGGACUUCUACAACUAGGAUAAAGUGACAUAGUCCAGGACCCGAGGUCAACAGUUUAGCGGCGCUACAACACGCUACAGCAGGUCCGUUUGACAAGAAACACUUCUGUUACAGACACUUGUCUUACUUUGUUAAAGCGGUUUACCUGUCCAGCAGAAAGGUUACAGGGUCCGAAAGAUCCCGAA